rnacentral:piRNA from 2 species
UGGUUUUCUGUGUUUCUUCCUUCAC